CAGCUACAUGCGUUAGAUACAAAAUAUAUGACAAUUAGAAAAUCAAGACAUUAUUUACAGAUGGGAAAAAAUUACGCUGUCUAUUUUCUGGAAUUUAUUCAAUAAUGUAUUGAAGAAACAUCACCGUCUUUUUGGUACCAUCCCUUCCCAGUGUCACCUGUAAGACGACAGCAGGCACAGAGAAGAUCAUGGCUUCGUUGAAGAUGGGGUUGGUGUCGUCUCUUUUCAUGGAGGUCUUCUUCUUACUGAUUUUCUUACCAUCUUGCAGAAGGUACACUUUGACAAAGGGAUCUGUUAACGGAGAGAUUGUGACAGCUUUGUUCACAAACAAUUUAAAUACCAAAAGUGUCAUCCGAAAUAUUAGUCUGUGUGUGUAGACAGCGAGAAAAGUAAAACAAAAAAUAGAUGUUUUAACCCAUGCGACCAUUGUUCUUCAUAUUUAACUUUGCAUGUUAGCAUAAUGGAGGUAAAGUGAUGGUAAAUAUUUCAUUUAAAGAAAAUCUACCCACUUUUUGAGACAUUCAGUCAUAAAUUCUAAUGAUAAUUGGGGCAAAUCACUUUGCAAAAAGCCAAAUAGAAAGAUAAAUUGUUGAAUGACUGGGUAAUAUAUAGUAUUAAUGUGAAUAGGUGCUCACACAUGAUACAAUAUAGAGACAAACAUAAGAGCUAAAGCUGUGAAGUAGUGUCACCUGCUGUGGUUUUGUCAUUGGUCCACACAAGGUUCUUUGCUUUGGCCACCACCACUGUAAGGCGCUCAGCAGUGGGCAAGUAGCUGAGAGACAGCAGAAUCUCCCCAACUGCAUCCACGGCCUAAAGACAACACAAGCCAAAAGAGGCCAUUGUUGCACACUGCACAGAUACGACAGUCACUGACGAUUCUAUAAAAAUCAAACUGUUUACAUGAUUUCAUCCUCCACAUGUUUCAUGUUCCGCUUCAUGCCAUCAGCACCUUUAAAACCUAACAUUUUAUAUGCUUUAUUACCCUUAACAAAAAUCACAUGACAAAAAAAACUACGUGGUUUUCGGACACGUGUGAUCAAAUCAUGUGAACAUUUUCAAAUGAGAAAAAAAAGAUAUUCACGUUAGAAAUGUUCACGAGUCAGACGUGGUUUUGUCAUGUGUUUUUCCUUCGUGAAAAAUAAUUUCCCCACGUGACAUUUUGUUUUCAUGUUUACUUUUCACAGGUUUAUUUUCACUACUUCCUGCUACAUCUGGUCUUCCAUCCAGUGACUGAGUAGGACCUACCCUGCUUAGCUUCAGAGGCAAACCAGCAGUGGGAUGCAGGGUGCUAUGUUGCUGGAAUGAAGUUGCCAACAUUUUCAGCGAAAUCAAAGACUAGGGUAACAUAACCAAAGAUUGAGAAAAUUGCAGGAAAGAGGGGAGGUGUUUUAUUUAAUUGCAUUAUCUUCUCCUUUUCUUUUCUUUUAACCGAAAACUAUUUUUUUUGUAUCCAUUUACAAUUCAUUUGCUCUCGCAUUUCAAAAUGAUUUCCUUGCAAUAUUUUGUUUUUCUAUCAAUA